AACGUAGGACACGAGCGUUAUCCGGAGUUACUGGGCGUAAAGGGCGGGUAGGUGGUGCGAUAAGACUGGUGUGAAAGCCUUCGGCUUAACCGAGGGAGGACACUGGUGACUGUCGGACUUGAGGCAGAUAGAGGGGUGUAGAAUUCCGGGUGUAGUGGUGAAAUGCGUAGAGAUCCGGAGGAAUACCAGAGGCGAAGGCGGCACCCUGGGCCUGCACUGACGCUCAUGCACGAAAGCGUGGGGAGCAAACAGG
rnacentral:rRNA from 1 species